AUGAGCUUCUAUAGCUUACAUGAGACGCUGCAUCAAGAGAUAGCCAAAUACCAAUCCAGAUUCUUCUGGGCCGGCGAGGGGGAUAAGCAGAAAUACCAUAUGGUCAGUUGGCCGGAGAUCUACAAACCCAAGGACCAAGGAGGCCUUGGGAUCCUGUCCUCUAGGCGCAUGAAUAUCGCCCUCCUGACCUGCUGGCUUUGGCGGAUAGCCAACGGGGAGGGUGGCCUCUGGUUGGACAUCAUCUGA
rnacentral:rRNA from 1 species